rnacentral:rRNA from 1 species
UGCGCAGGCGGGCUUGUAAGUCAGUGGUGAAAUACUGCCGCUUAACGGUAGAACUGCCAUUGAUACUGCAAGUCUUGAAUAUGGUUGAGGUCGGCGGAAUGUGUCGUGUAGCGGUGAAAUGCAUAGAUAUGACACAGAACGCCAAUUGCGAAGGCAGCUUACUAAGCCAUUAUUGACGCUGAGGCACGAAAGCGUGGGGAGCGAACAGGAUUAGAUACCCUGGUAGUC